UAAAAGAUAAGCUAAUUAUAAGCUAAUGGGUUCAUACCUCAUUUAUGGACAAUAUUCCUCUUUUUA
rnacentral:tRNA from 1 species